rnacentral:rRNA from 1 species
AUUGAACGCUGGCGGCAGGCUUAACACAUGCAAGUCGAGCGAGCGGCGGACGGGUGAGUAAUGUCUGGGAAACUGCCUGAUGGAGGGGGAUAACUACUGGAAACGGUAGCUAAUACCGCAUACCAUCAGAUGUGCCCAAAUGGGCUUAGCUAGUAGGUGGGGUAAUGGGUAACCUAGGCGACGAUCCCUAGCUGGUCUGAGAGGAUGACGAGCCACACUGGAACUGUGACACGGGCCAGACUCCGACGGGAGGCAGCAGUGGGGAAUAUUGCACAAUGGGCGCAAGCCUGAUACAGCUGUGCCGCGUGUGUGGAGAAGGCCUUCGGGUGUUAAAGCACUUUCAGCGAGGAGGCGUUACUCGCAGAAGAAGCACCGGCUAACUCCGUGCCAGCAGCCGCGGUAAUUC